rnacentral:rRNA from 1 species
GACAGAGGUGCCAAGCGUUAGGCGGAAUCACUGGGCGUAAAGCGCGUGUAGGCGGCCAGAAAAGUCCGCUGUGAAAACUCGAGGCUCAACUUCGAGCUGUCGGUGGAAACUUUCUGGCUAGAGUCCGGAAGAGGAGAAUGGAAUUCCUGGUGUAGCGGUGAAAUGCGCAGAUAUCAGGAAGAACACCCGUGGCGAAGGCGGUUCUCUGGGACGGUACUGACGCUGAGACGCGAAAGCGUGGGGAGCGAACAGG